AAUUCUGUACAAUUUGCCACCUUGGAAAUGCAUGAAGAAAGAAUAUAUGACGAUGAAUAUUUUGAUGAUCGAGGAUCCAGGUAUUAAAUUAUAACCACAACACUUGGUCAAUCUUUACAAUUUCGUACAAUUUGCCACCUUGGAAAUGCAUGAAGAAAGAAUAUAUGAUGAUGACUAUGUUGAUAACCGAGGGUUCGGAUGUUCACCUUGCGAGCAGUAGUGAUGUGGACUAUAAAUGAUUUUUCAACGUAUGUUAUGAUGUUCAAGUGGAGUCUUAAGGGUUAUUUUGCAUGCCCAGUUUGCAAGGAGGACACAACAUCUUCUUGGCACGCCGUUAAAGUUUGUUACCUAGGGCAACGUAGAUGGUUGUUGUGAGACCACGAGUGGCAUCAGAAUGAGACAACACUCUUCCACGGAACAGAGAUUCAACCAAGACACAGAGAAUGGCCCGGAGAAAAUAUUUUAUUGCCCUUGAAUCGUUUGGAUUUUGGUCCUUUUGGAAAAUUGAUAAAUAAGACCACACUAAACACCCA